rnacentral:rRNA from 1 species
ACGUAGGGUGCGAGCGUUAAUCGGAAUUACUGGGCGUAAAGCGUGCGUAGGUGGUUCGCUAAGUCUGAUGUGAAAGCCCUGGGCUCAACCUGGGAAUGGCAUUGGAAACUGGCGACCUAGAGUGCGGUAGAGGGUAGUGGAAUUCCCGGUGUAGCAGUGAAAUGCGUAGAGAUCGGGAGGAACAUCUGUGGUGAAGGCGACUACCUGGACCAGCACUGACACUGAGGCACGAAAGCGUGGGGAGCAAACAGGA